UUCUGUACUGAUAAAGCUGCAGCAGCUUGUUGAAAAGUUUCAUUUAUUUGAACUUUGCGUCCACUGACACAACGCAAAAUGUACUGACAAGAUUCAGCAAGAUUUUGCAACUUUUAUAGUAUUUGGAGCAAUGAUACCAUUAUUUACCCAAAUGGAUGUGACUUUUUAAGUAAAUAUCAAGAAGCAAGUGUUUAUUAUUUGUCCUGAGAGAUAAAAAUCCCUCCACUCUGAGUACAUUAUUAACCAACAGGGAUCAAAAGGUCAAAACAAAGUUUCAGAAAACAAGUUUAUCAGAACUGGAAAAAAACGGCCAAAGGUCUAACGCAGAAAUCCGACUUUUAUCUGAGGGAUUCCAGGAGUAAAAUGGAGAUAAAUAUCCAGGUGAGUCCCAAGUGUGACCCAGGACCAUUGCCUCCUCAUCGUUGAAUAAGGACGUCCGCAGUGCAAAAGACAAACUUCUUCUUCUCUGAUCCUCCCACGCCGUGUGAUCUGAACUCAGCCGAGUGUCAGGACGACAGGCUGCACACACUUCAGGUAUUUUGGAUCCACGUUGUGAAAGUGAGAAGGGCUUCAUCUCCAGGCGAAGCGUGACGAAGCGUGUCGAGCAGAGAUCCCACCUUUAUGAAUUAAAUCCUGUCCUAACCGAAGACGCUCAAACUGGCUGACCUGCUCUCUCUGCUCUGAUCAGCAACCUGCUCAGGUUUCCCUGAGUUUCAUCUCCUUCAUUAAAAUGCUCUGCCCUCAGGCAGCUUUGUCGCUUCACAGGCGUUUCUAAAGGUGUUAGAUAAGGUAAGAGUAACGCGCGCCCGCCAGAAUCAGGACGAAUCGGCUCAAACCAGCAUGUGGGUUUCUCCUGAGCCAUAUUUGCCAGUUUUUUCCUUUUAAUUCCUCAUGUUUUGGAUUUUGUUCCAUUAAUUUGUUGCGGGUGUAAAUCCUGGCCACGAUGUGCAGCAAUGGCAACUGGUAAAAUGUUUACCGGUUUUCUCAACUGUUGACUGUGUUGACAGUUUUUACGACGUACAGCGCUUUGAACUGCCUUGUUUCUGAAAUGUGAAACACAAAACCUUGAUUGAUUGAUUGAUUGAAGACAGAGAUUUGACUGGGAGAGAAGCAAAAAAACAACCAGGAUCUGACAAGUAACAACCGAAACCCAGUAAAGAUAAGUCCUAAAGUAGAAAAAUGACCACACAGGAAGAAAAACCAAACCAAAUAGUGAGGCUUACACCAACUUGGUGUAAACUAGUAAACCAUUCGCUUGUAAGAAAGGAAGAAAAACAAAACAAUGAAAAGAAUAAAAAAUAAAUAAAUAAAAACAACAAAGCUUCCAGACAACCAUAAAGUUAACAAUGCAAAACAGGAAACAAUCUGCAAAACACCCUGAUAAUUUGGUGUGUGUAUUUAAAUUUUAUCACUUUUCCCGUAGCGUGAGUUCACUGAUGCAGGGAGUUGUCGCUAUUUUAAGUACUGGUUGCCAUGGGAACCACACUUUUUGUAUCCUUUUUUGCCAACUACCAGCAUGGAGAGGGAAAACGCGUUUGUACUAAAUCUGCUUAUUUUUUAAACAUGAGUUUUUAAUCCUGCCUGGUCCAGCAGGUAAAAAGUUUUGAUGUAACUUCAUGAAGGUUUCCUGUUACCUUUUUUUUUUUUUAAGAUUCAUUGCUUGUUGAAAAACCCAAAUCAGAUCAAUAUGCCGGCUUUGCAAAACGCUGAAAUCCUCCUUUUCGUUAGCAGCAGCAUGUUGUAAUUUGUCUCCACCCAUCAACCAUCUGUCAGCUUUCAUGUGUGACUCUCACAUGCAGAUUAUGGAAAUACAGACUAAUAACAUCCACAGAGAAGCAGCUUAAUUUAAAAAUACGACUCAAAUCAAAGCAACUUUUCACAUUUCAACAGAAAGUGUCUGGAUUUCUGUGCAUAAGAGCUAAAACUAAUUUAUUAAUAAAGUGCAACUUGCAGGGAGAUUUCAGACAUUGAAAAAGAAAUACCUCAAACUGAGGGUUUAGACAGGGUUGUCCAAAGUGCGGCCCGGGGGCCAUUUGUGGUCCUUGGACGGAUUUUAUGUGGCCCCCAAGUGCAAGACUUUUACUGAAAAGCUGCGUCCAAUUCUUUCUUAAAUUUGGCUAAAAAUGGCCAAUGUUUUAAAAUAAAGUGAAUCCUCUUAUGACUGAAAAUAAAUUUCAAAAUUUAAAAGAAACUGAAAAUAUGAUGUCUUUCUGUCAAUACAGCAAACAUGGAAACUUAAAGUAUUAAUAAGUAGUAAAGUUCUGCAAAAAAAUCUCAGAAAUUUGCUAGAAAAAAU